GACGAAGGAUCCAAGCGUUAUCCGGAUUUAUUGGGUUUAAAGGGUGCGUAGGCGGACUUGUAAGUCAGUGGUGAAAGCCCGAUGCUUAACAUCGGAACUGCCAUUGAUACUGCAAGUCUUGAAUAUGUUUGAAGUGGGCGGAAUGUGUCGUGUAGCGGUGAAAUGCUUAGAUAUGACACAGAACACCGAUUGCGAAGGCAGCUCACUAAACCAUUAUUGACGCUGAGGCACGAAAGCGUGGGGAGCAAACAGG
rnacentral:rRNA from 2 species